rnacentral:rRNA from 1 species
UACAGAGGUCUCGAGCGUUAGGCGGAAUCACUGGGCUUAAAGCGUGUGUAGGCGGAUCGGUAAGUACCUUGUGAAAUCCCACAGCUUAACUGUGGAACUGCUUGGUAUACUGCCGGUCUUGAGCCAGCUAGGGGCUACCGGAACAAAUGGUGGAGCGGUGAAAUGCGUAGAUAUCAGGAGGAACACCGGUGGCGAAGGCGGGUCUCUGGGCCGUAACUGACGCUGAGGAGCGAAAGCGUGGGGAGCGAACAGG